CAAUGUGAGGGCGAUCUGGCAGCGACAUCUGUCACCCCAUUGAUCGCCAGGGUUGAUUCGGCUGAUCUGGCUGGCUAGGCGGGUGUCCCCUUCCUCCCUCACCGCUCCAUGUGUGUCCCUCCCGAAGCUGCGCGCUUGGUUGAAGAGGACGACCUUCCCCGAUAGAAGGAAGACCAUCCUUCGGUCAAGGGUAUACGAGUAGCUGCACUCCCCUGCUAGAACAUCCAAACAAGUCUCAAGGUCCAUUUGUAGGAGAACGUAGGGUAGUCAAGCUUCCAAGACUCCAGACACUUCCAAAUGAGGCGCUGCAUGUGGCAGUCUGCCUUUCUUU
ensembl:misc_RNA 7SK 7SK RNA